UACGUAGGGACCGAGCGUUGUCCGGAAUCAUUGGGCGUAAAGAGCGUGUAGGCGGCCAACUAAGUCCUGCGUGAAAUCUCGGGGCUCAACCCCGAGCGGUCGUGGGAAACUGGUUGGCUAGAGUGCGGGAGAGGAGAGUGGAAUUCCUGGUGUAGCGGUGAAAUGCGCAGAUAUCAGGAAGAACACCCGUGGCGAAGGCGGCUCUCUGGAACGGUACUGACGCUGAGACGCGAAAGCGUGGGGAGCAAACAGG
rnacentral:rRNA from 1 species